UACGGAGGGAGCUAGCGUUGUUCGGAAUUACUGGGCGUAAAGCGCGCGUAGGCGGAACGAUCAGUCCGGUCUGAAAGCCCCCGGCUCAACCGGGGAGGGUGGCUGGAACUGUCGUUCUUGAGGGCGAGAGAGGAGGGUGGAAUUCCCGGUGUAGUGGUGAAAUGCGUAGAGAUCGGGAGGAAUACCCGUGGCGAAGGCGGCCUAACUGGGCCGGACCUGGACGCUGAAGACGCGAAGGCGUGGGGAGCGAACGGGAUUGAGAU
rnacentral:rRNA from 1 species